GGUGGAGAUUAAUUGGCUUCUGCUGGCUGGCUGCACCAUCUACGGGAAGCCUGGAUUCUGUCAUCGUAACAGUCAUAAUUCAGACUUCCACGAAAGCCCAUUCAGAAUACACUGAGGGCUUAUUUAGGAUAAGAAGUGACUAUUCUAUGAUAGGAGUUUCAAUGACCAAUUUUUCUCAACUGAAGAAAGUGUAAACUUUAUUCACCACCCUGCUCUCCUGAAGGCUCAUCAAAGGAAAGGGCUCAAUGAAACCAAGCCAUGCUGUGUGGGGCCACCCAAGAUGGAUGGGUCAUGGUGGAGAGGUCUGACAGAAUGUGGUCCACUGGAGAAGGGAAUGGCAAACCACUUCAGUAUUCUUGCCUUGAGAACCCCAUAAACAGCAUGAAAAGGCAAAAAGACAGGACACUGAAAGAUGAACUCCCCAGCCUGGUAGG
ensembl:lncRNA